GUAUUAUAGGGAUGGGGAUACGGUAAACAACCCCAUAAUCUCCUGUAUAGUAAUAUGCUAUAUAUAUACAUAUAAAUAAGCAUAUCAGGGUUAAAAAGAGGUGUUCACCAUAUGAGGGUCCGUUUGUGGAUCACGUAGACAACAUAUUAGGAGUUAUCAUGAUACUAUUAAAGGAUGUUCUAUUAAUUGCGUUUAUUAUAAGAUAUAUGUAUUAACCUACGUAUCAUUAGUAGAUAGUCUAUUGUGUGAAUGAGUAGGCGUAGGCCAAUGGUAUCUAGGCAUGCGCACUAACGGCGUGUCUAUUGGUCAGGAGGUCAUAACACUGGGGGGUAGGUGUGUCGGGUAUUCUGUGGAUCACCUAUAGGGGAUAUAUAUCGAACCAGUGCAGAAUGAAGAUAACCCUGAUCCUCCAAACACCCUGAUCCUCCAAACACCCUGAUCCUCCAAACGUCUGAGCGCUAGGCUAAGCUAGUAGACUCGUCAUAGCGGCUGCAGAAGAAAGGAGAAGAAAGAAAAACAGCUACUACAACCUGCACAACUAUGCCUACUGACUUUUUUCCGUAGUGAUUUCUGACGUCGGCUAUGAGAGCGUGAAAAGGCAUCAGGUUCCACGCGCACCAGGUGCUGAUAUUCGGUUGAAUAAUCAAAGAUCGAUACUCGGUGAUCGGACCAAUGUGGGGGCCAGCAGUAGUUAUGGUGAGUUAUUAGUACACACGCUAUUAUCAUACAUGUAUUACAUCUAUUUUAUUGGGCAUUUAAUAAUGAAUAAAAAAAAUAAUAAAAAAAACCAGAACUGCAAGCAG